rnacentral:rRNA from 1 species
AACGGCCGCGGUAAAUUGACCGUGCAAAGGUAGCAUAAUCAUUAGUCUUUUAAUAGAAGGCUGGAAUGAAAGGUUUGACGAGGAAUUAACUGUCUCACCUUAUUUGUUUUAAAAUUUAAUUUUUUAGUCAAAAAGCUAAAAUUUUAUUGGUAGACGAGAAGACCCUAUAGAUCUUUAUAAAAAUUUAAAUAUUUAUUAAUAUAUUAUUAUAAUUAUUUAAUAUUUUAUUUUGUUGGGGUGACAAAAAUAUAUAAUUAACUUUUUUAUUUUUAAAACAUUAAUUUAUGAUUAGUAGAUCCGUAAUUUGCGAUUAUUAGAACAAGUUACCUUAGGGAUAACAGCGUAAUCCUCCUCCAGAGUUCUUAUUUACAGGAUGGGCUUGCGACCUCGAUGUUGGAUUAAGAUAAUAGUUAGGUGUAGCCGCUUAAUGUAUAGGUCUGUUCGAC